GCCACCCUAGCUCAGUGGUAGAGCAGCUCACUCGUAAUGAGCAGGUCGUGGGUUCGAGUCCCAUGGGUGGCUCCA
rnacentral:tRNA from 1 species